rnacentral:rRNA from 1 species
GACGAACGCUGGCGGCGUGCUUAACACAUGCAAGUCGAACGGAAAGGCCCUGCUUUUGUGGGGUGCUCGAGUGGCGAACGGGUGAGUAACACGUGAGUAACCUGCCCUUGACUUUGGGAUAACUUCAGGAAACUGGGGCUAAUACCGGAUAGGAGCUCCUGCUGCAUGGUGGGGGUUGGAAAGUUUCGGCGGUUGGGGAUGGACUCGCGGCUUAUCAGCUUGUUGGUGGGGUAGUGGCUUACCAAGGCUUUGACGGGUAGCCGGCCUGAGAGGGUGACCGGCCACAGUGGGACUGAGAUACGGCCCAGAGUCCUACGGGAGGCAGCAGUGGGGAAUAUUGCACAAUGGGCGGAAGCCUGAUGCAGCAACGCCGCGUGCGGGAUGACGGCCUUCGGGUUGUAAACCGCUUUCGCCUGUGACGAAGCGUGAGUGACGGUAAUGGGUAAAGAAGCACCGGCUAACUACGUG